ensembl:snRNA U6 U6 spliceosomal RNA
AGGAAAAUUGAAUGCUUGCUUUAUAUUAGUAUUGAAUCAAUACAGUGAAGAUUAGCAUGGCCCCUGUACACAGCUAGCAUGCAAAUUCAUGAAGUGUUCCAUGCUGAG